rnacentral:rRNA from 1 species
UACGGAGGGAGCUAGCGUUGUUCGGAAUCACUGGGCGUAAAGCGCACGUAGGCGGAUCUUUAAGUCAGGGGUGAAAUCCCGGAGCUCAACUCCGGAACUGCCUUUGAUACUGGGGAUCUUGAGUUCGAGAGAGGUGAGUGGAACUGCGAGUGUAGAGGUGAAAUUCGUAGAUAUUCGCAAGAACACCAGUGGCGAAGGCGGCUCACUGGCUCGAUACUGACGCUGAGGUGCGAAAGCGUGGGGAGCAAACAGG